UGCGUAGGUGGCCGGGUAAGUCGGAUGUGAAAUCUCGGAGCUCAACUCCGAAAUGGCAUUGGAAACUGCCCGGCUCGAGGGUUGGAAGGGGGACUGGAAUACUUGGUGUAGCAGUGAAAUGCGUAGAUAUCAAGUGGAACACCAGUGGCGAAGGCGAGUCCCUGGACAACUCCUGACACUGAGGCACGAAAGCUAGGGGAGCAAACAGGAUUAGAUACCCUGGUAGUCCUAGCCGUAAACGGUGCAUGUUUGCUGUAAAAGGAAUCGACCCCUUUGUGGCGUAGCCAACGCGUUAAACAUGCCGCCUGGGAAGUACGGUCGCAAGAUUAAA
rnacentral:rRNA from 1 species